rnacentral:rRNA from 1 species
CACGUAGGGCGCAAGCGUUGUCCGGAAUUAUUGGGCGUAAAGAGCUCGUAGGCGGUCUGUUGCGUCUGCUGUGAAAACCCGGGGCUUAACCCCUGGCUUGCAGUGGAUACGGACAGACUAGAGGUAGGUAGGGGAGAAUGGAAUUCCCGGUGUAGCGGUGAAAUGCGCAGAUAUCGGGAGGAACACCGGUGGCGAAGGCGGCAUCCUGGACCAACACUGACACUGAGGAGCGAAAGCCAGGGGAGCAAACGGG